GUACUACAGGUAGCAUACCCUUAUUCAUAUCCUUCACUAAUAAAUACACAACACAUUUCACAUUCCCAGUUACACCUUGUUUCUUCCGCUCGCACCGCUCUCUCUCGAAACGCAAAUUUUGUCCUCGUGCCUGGGCGAUCCUUCAAGUUUUAGCUCGUUUGAGGUUUAGGUUUUCGAAUCGAUUCCGGAGUCGCUAAGAAUAACUCAGGUUUUAUGCGUGCCUGGAACUGAAGCUGUGCUUGUAGGUAAGCAUGGGAUUUGAUAAUGAGUGCAUAGUGAACAUUCAAUCUCUCGCUGGAGAGUACUUCUGUCCUGUCUGUCGGCUGCUUGUAUUUCCAAAUGAAGCUUUACAGUCACAAUGUACUCAUUUAUACUGCAAGCCAUGUUUGACAUACGUUGUGAGCACUACAAGGGCUUGCCCAUAUGAUGGGUACUUGGUUACUGAGGCAGAUUCCAAGCCUCUGACAGAGUCGAAUAAGGCACUUGCUGAAACUAUUGGAAAAAUAGCAGUUCAUUGUCUUUACCAUAGGAGUGGAUGCACAUGGCAAGGAACUUUGUCUGAGUGCACAUCUCAUUGUUCUGGAUGUGCCUUUGGCAAUUCUCCUGUUGUUUGCAACAGGUGUGGGAUCCAAAUAGUGCAUCGCCAAGUACAAGAACAUGCACAAAACUGCCCUGGUGUGCAAGGUCAGGUACAGCAGGUGGCCAUUACCCAGGAUCCUUCAGCUACUAGUGCUGUUGCUUCUACGGAUCAAAACCAGACCACUGCUCCAGUUGCAGCAACGGCUUCACAAGCUCUCACUUCUCAAACUGCUGUCACAACUAUGCCUGGGCAGGUUUCAAAUCAGCUACCUAACUCUGCUUCCCAAACCCAAGCUGUUGUGCAGCCAACAGCAGAGCAAUGGUAUCAGCAGCAGCAACAAUAUCAACAAUACUACCAGCAAUACCCUGGACAAGAUCCAUACCAACAGCAGUAUCAACAUUACUACCCAUAUCAACAAUCUGGGGUUCCACAGUACCAGCAGGCCUAUGGUCAGCCCCAACCUCAAGCUCAAUCACAGCCCCAGCCACAGACCCAACACCAAUCUCAGCCUCAACUCCAACCACAACCUCAAGCACAAGGACUAUCUCAACCGCCUUCACAUAUUCAGGCUCCUGUUGCCCCAUCAUCUCAGAAUCAGAUGCAAGUUCAACAACAACCGCAGCAACUUCAACCUGCUGUCCAGCCACAUGGUCAGACAAAUCACGCACCAGGCCAUGGGCAAGCCCUCCCUCAGGCUCAAACUCAGCCUUAUCCUUACCCCCAAGUCCAGCCUCAUUCUGUCCAACCUCAGCCCCAACAACAUAUGCAAGUGCCUCCUUAUCAGCAGCCUCUUCCUCAAAUGCAGCAUUCACAACCUCAAAUUCAACAACCAGUUCAGAAGUAUCCUGUUCCCCAACCUCAAGUUCAUCCACAACUGCAACCUAAUGCUCCAGUUCAACAUGUGUCUCAGCUCCCAAUGCCUCCUCACCAGCCAGUGACUCCCAAUGUUCAGCCUCAAGUGCAAAGUGCAACGUCGCAUUCAGUGACAGGGCAUCAUUCUUAUCCCCAACCUCUGCCUCACCCAAAUAUGCAACCAGGAAUCCCUCAUCAUACUAUGCAUAUGCAUGCUCAAAGUGGGCCUCAGCCCCAGGCCCAACACCCAGUACAGAUGCAGAAUCAGUUCCCUCCACAAAUUCCAACUACACGUCCAAAUCAAUCUCAUACUAUGUUUCCUAACCAGCAACAGCCAGCUUUGUUGCCUUCAUCCGUUCAGGGCCAAACUAACCCCCCUCUGCAACAGCAACCAAUAUAUACUCAUAAUCAACAACCUGGGCAAAUUAACCAACGUCCUACAUUACAACCCGUUCAACAAAUACCUCAGCAGCCGUAUGCACAACACCAAAUGCCUAUGCCACCUCAUUUACGACCCCAAGGUCCAGCACAUUCAUUUCCUAAGCAUGCUUAUCCGCAGUCACAGGGUAAUGCUGCACUAUCAAAUAGCAUUCAGCACAGUCAAUCUCAGAAUCCUGCAGGAAGGCCUUUAGCUCCUAAUCAUGCAGGACACCUACAGCCAUUUGCACAAUCUCCCAAUACCAUUCCAGUGAGACCUGGGCAAAAUGGUGCUGGCUACCUGCCUGAAAAUCAGAAAUUGUUGGUUGGGACCAAUAAUCAAGUACAGUUACCUUCUGAAUUGCAGUCUAGGGCACCCGAAUCAAUUGAUAGACAAGGUGAUGUUGUUGAGCAACAAACUGACUCUGCCUCUGGGAAACAGGGUAAAUUUUUUAAAGAUUUGGACAUAGUGUCUGGAUCAGCAAUUGAGUUGAAAUCUGAAAAAGUUGAAACAGAUUUGAAACCAGUUGAGGCUGGGAAUAAGCAAAAUAAUGAAGAUCCACACUCUCUGAAGACUUCAGUACCAAAUGGCAAUGCAUUAGAAAAUAGUGAUUCUGUGAAUAAGAAUCUUGGGAUGGGGGAGUCUGCUGAAAGCAAUUGGAAGCCCUCAAUUGGUAAUAAAUCAGUUGGUUCAAUGCAUGAGGUUCAAAAUGAUAGUAAUGAGCAUUCUGUCCAAGGCAAUGAAUUUCAAGAUGGACAUCCACCGAAGACAGAGACAAAACUCCCUGAUUCAGAAUCUGAUAAAUUGGGUAAUGAUGAUAAUCCCGCACAUUCUGUCUCUCAAAGCAACGGGGGUUUUGCCCAGCUGUCUCAUACAGCCACUUUUUCUGAUCAGAGUAAGCAUCAGCAACAAAUGAUUAAUUAUGGGCCUCCUUCUGUCCAGCAGAGAUCUUCUGCAAUGUUAGCAUCACAAUUGCCACAUCCAACAGUUCCUAAUCAGUUACUGUCUUCAGAGCACUCUUCAGCCCUUGUUAGGAAUCAUGGAUCUGCCCAUGCUCAUCAUUCAGGACAGCCCUUAACAGAGAAUUUUCCACAAACCAUGUUUAAGCAACAGCAAGAUUCUGACAUCCAAUUUAAUAAUCCAGGGCGGAGCUUUCAAUCUCAGUCUCUUGGACCCCCACGACCAUUUAACCAAGUCCAUGAGCCUCCUUUUCAUGCUGGAGCAUCCAAUUUGUCUCGCCUUGGAGGGCCUCAAUUUGGUGCACCACUUCCUGGAGAUAUGCAUGGUCGAAUGACAGCCAAUGUACCCCCACAUGCCCCUGAAGGUUUUGGUUUGCAGGAUGGAAGGUUCAAACCUUUCCAUGUGCCAAAUCAACAAAAUAUUGAUAGAAGAGAGUUUGAUGAUGAUCUUAAGAAAUUUUCUAGGAUGCCUUUGGAUGCUGAGCCAGUUUCAAAAUUUGGAAAUUUUUCAUUAGGGGCACAUGAAGCUGGAAAGAGACCGGUUGGUAUUCAUGACAAUGUCAUUAAGAAAUUAGGUUCUACUCUUCAUCCUGGUUAUCUUGGACCAGGUCCUGGAUAUGGGAGACAUCAUAUGGAUGGUAUGGCUCCAAGAAGUCCUGUUGGUGAAUAUGCUGAGAUGUCAUCCCGGAGAUUGGGGCCCCACUCUGGCAGUCUUGUUGGUAAGUCAGGUAUAGAUGAUUUUGAUGGCAGAGUUGCACGUCAUUUUGGUGAUUUCCGUGAUAGUCGAUUUCCUCGUUUGCCUAGCCAUUUACAUGGUGAUGAAUUUGAUGGUUUUGGUAACUUUCGAAUGGGUGAACAUCCAAGGAGUGGUGAUUUCAUUGGUCAAGAUGAAUUUCCUGGCCAUUUUAGGAGAGGUGAACAUUUAGGUCCACAUAAUAUUCCUAGACAUUUACAGCUCGGGGACCCUGUUGGUUUUGGUGCCCAUCCUGGUCAUAUGAGAGCAGUUGAACUUGGUGGUUUCCGUAGUUUUGAAUCUUUCAACAAAGGCAACCGGCCAGGUCAUCCACAACUUGGUGAGCCUGGGUUUAGGAGCAGCUUCUCUCUUGCAGGAUUUCCUAAUGAUGCUGGAUUUUUAUCAGGAGAUAUAAGAUCAUUUGAUAAUUUGAGGAGAAGGAAGGCUUCUAGCAUGGGGUGGUGCAGGAUAUGUAAAGUUGACUGUGAAACAGUAGAAGGUUUGGACUUGCAUUCGCAAACAAAGGAGCACCAGAUGAUGGCCAUGGAUAUAGUUAAAACAAUCAAACAAAAUGCAAAGAAACAGAAAUUAAUACCCAGUGAACAAGGCUCUGUUGAUGAAGGAAAUAAGAUGCACAAUGCUGUUUUUGAGGGUCGAGGAAAUAAGCAUUAAGUAGUUAUGAUUUGCUGUAAUCUGAUACCCUCUCAUUCAGUUGUCAUCAAAAGAUGUUAUGGUUGCUGCCUUCAUGUUAAUGGAGAUGUUUUUCGGAACUGGAGUACUGUGGCAGGUCAAAACAGGGCUUUUGAAACAACAAGCAUUGCAGCACCAACGCAUGCAAAUCAUCCAAGUUAGGCCGACAGCUCUGUAGCAGCCAACUGUUGCUAUUGUGCACUAUCAAUAGCCCUUCUUUUCACUUGCCAUAGAAGCCUUCUUCUAUUGACAACUUUACAUUGAUGAACCGCUUCUUCUUAGUUAAAGAUUAUCCCGUCUUUCUAUUGCACAAUGUUGGGAGCGCUCAUUGAAGCGGUGAGAUAGACUUCUUGAUUGGCGAUUCUGGGCUUCAAUCUCUACCCUGUCAUUGUGUUUUUAUCAGGUUCGUGAUUUUCGAUCUUAAUAAUUUAUGAUAACAGAUUCCUUCUUAACCCAAAAACAGCCUGCCCCUUAGGCUGGCUGUUUUAUCUAUUGAAUAAAUGAAUGAUAUCUCUUUGAUCUUUAUUGUUUUCCUUCUGUGGUAAAAUAUGCCAUGGUUAUUUUAAUUUUAACAAUGAUACAAAUUUUAUGAUCCAGUAGGAAUGUAGGAUGAGUAACCCUCGUGUCAUAGUGCACUCAUUUUGAGAGGGUGAUUUUGAACUCUAUAGGGGCAACAAUACUUACAACGUAACCCUCCUAUAAACAAGAGAGCUCUUUUGUUGGCCUCUUAAUGAGUUAUAAAAAUGUUCUGAAGCUGUUGAUUACAAUAAUGAUAAUUUCUCUCUUCGCUGAUGCAUGUACCUCCUCAAAAUAGAGACAGACUGCAAGAAAAUCUAGUUGGCUUGUAAUGGGAAUAAAAAACUAGUCGAGGAUUAAAUACUUAACAAACAAAUAAACUGAAUUCGAUAGGAAAAAACUUCUGGACCUUUUAUAUAUACAUUAAGUGGUUGCAAGUGGCAACGGUAACUAUGGAGUGGGAUUGAAAAUUUAGGGGGAGGCGGAGGAAAAUCGUGUUUUUUCUUACACUGAACUGAUUCUGGUUGACUCAGCAGUGUAGUUGGAAAAUGUAAGGCAGUUUUGGGCGUAAGGUCAGGGGUAGCCAAGUUUUUUUUUAUUUUAGGAUAAGUAUAAAAUAUAUAUUAUAAGGAAAGUUUUUGUGGCAAAAAGAUAACUAUGGACGAUUUAUCAGGAUUAAAAUGCAUUCAUAAUCCUCAUGACAAAUUACUAAAACUUUCUAGAUUGUGUACUUAAUAUAACCAAGACAAUUCAUAAUCAUAUUAUGUUGUGGGAGACAUCAUCUAGUUUAUCAGUUUCCUUUCUAAUGUGAACAUUUACGUUUUAUGAUAGAAAAUUACUAUCCAUGUCGUAGGUUGUACUAGAGUAUUGUUUUAAUGGACAAUAAUAAAUGGAACAAUAAGCUACUGCAAACGAUACCAAUAGAAAUAAUUUUAUGUUGUGAUUAUGUGUGUAUGUCUGAUUGUAUCUUAGGACAAGGAACAACGUUAAAAAAAAACAAUAUCACAAAUAAAAAGAUUUAGAAUGUAUAAAUUAUGGUUAUUGUGAAAUAAGUAAAAAGUUAUAAAGUUGAAAUUAAAAAAAAAUAAUAUAAAAAUAUAAGGAUCGCUCUUUAAAAAUAUUAAACAUAAUAAAGAAACCUAGUCAAAAGAGAAUCAGUAAUUGAGAUAUGCGGUCAUGUGUUGAAUACUCGAUAAAAUCUUAAUACCCAUGAAUAUUAGCCAUAAAUAUAAGGCUCAUUUUAUGUGUUUUUAAAGAAAAUAUUUUUUUAAUUAAAUUUAUGUUUGGGAUUAUUUUAGUUUAAGUUUUGGGGGAAAUAAAAAAGCAAUCUUGGUCGUUUUUUCAAAAAAAAAAAAAAAAACUUAAAGACCUAAUAAAUAGCAAUAUCAUGAAAGGCCUUUUUCUUAUAGUUUAUUUAAAUUUAAAUGUAUUAACUUGGAGGCUGGAAAAAUCAAAGUCGCUUAGAGAUUGAGGGAAAAAAUUUAAAAAUUUAAAAUUUUGAAGGGAAGAAAUUCUUAUUUAUUCAAUAACAAAUUUUAAGAAAAUCUCAAUUUUUAUUAUUUGAAAGAAAAAGAAAAAAAACAUUGUCCUUGUAUUUUAUGGCUUCCCUUGUAAACCUAAUUUAAAUCCUGAGGAUUCAACCAUAUAUUUAAAAGAAUUAAAAUUUAAAAGUAUAAAACAUGUUUCUUGGUGGUGGUCUGCCAAAGCCAUGGAUAGGAAGUAGAAAGGAUUUGGAGGGAUAACGUUUGAAAUGCAGAACAUGUAGGGUACUAGGGUGGUAGAUAAGAAGAAAUACGUCUUCUUUGCAAUUUUAAGUAUAGUUGUACUAGGGUACUUUUGGGUGAUAGUGAAUUACGUAACCAGCAACUUUUUGGUCUCUCCAAGCAUAAUGUAGGAUUGUGAUAAUCUGCAUAAAUCUCAUCCUUUAAAUUGUCAAUUUGGUCCAACGUGAUAAAUUAUUAGAAAUGCCACAUUAACAAAAAUUUAUACUCUUGGUCACAAUAUUAGUGGAAAAACUAAUUUGUCUAACAGAAACACAGUGAGAAAACAAAAUGAAAAUUUUUAAACUUAGGAGAUUUGACUAAAUCCGAAAACUAAAAUAAAGGACCAAAAUCUUAUUUUAGACUUUCUAUUCUUACACUUACUUUUUUUAAAAAAAUUGUCAAAAAUAUCCUUGAGUAAAAUAUGUUUUUGCUGUAUAAAAUUUAUUUUGAAAUCUUGAUUUAGUUGUAUCAUAAUUGAAAAUUGGGGGAUUGAUUGAAUAAUAAUACCUGAUGAAAACACGUUUUCAUUGUAGACAAAACUUGUUUUGUUGUGUUAGUUGGAGCUUAUAUACAGUAGAACCAUGUUUUUUUGUGUAUCUAACUUAUUUAUACAAAUAAUUUAAUUUAAAUAUUUUUACUAGGAUGAUUAAUUUUAAAAAAAUAUUUAAUUAAUUUUGGUGCUUAAUUUUUGUUUAUUUUAAAUAAUUUUAACUCGUUAAAUAAUGAGUCACAAAUAUGAAACAAAUCAAAAUAAAUUAUCAUACUUAUAAGAAGUUAGUUAACAUAGCAUGAAAUAUGACAAAAUAAGUGAAAAUGAGAUAUAAAAUAAAAUACAAGAUGAAAAUCUAAAUUAUCAAUGGUGAGAAUUCCUUCAAUACAAAUCAAGCCUGGCCCCCGGAGAUUCUGAUCCAUCCUCUCAAAUGAAUGUGGAAAAGUAUUAUGAACACUCAAUGAUAGUAGAGGCCUAAGGCUGUUGCACAAGCAUUCGAGGAGGGCUUUUUGACGGAUAUCUCUUUCAUUCAUGAGGAGGGCUUUUUGACGGAUAUCCCUUUCAUUCAUGAGGCACCUGCGCUCAAUGAUCACUUAUUUUGUAAUAUUUUAUCUUCACUAUGGUGUGUUAUGUUAUGUAAUGUUAACAUAUUUCAUCAGUAUUUUGAUUUGUUU